rfam:Gossypium hirsutum cultivar TM-1 chromosome 5, whole genome shotgun sequence
CACGUCAGCGCGCUUUGCUGACGUGGCAACAAAGCGCGGCCUGCAGAACGCGAUAUCUGUCUACGUCAGCAAAGCGCGCUGACGUGG